rnacentral:rRNA from 1 species
GACGAACGCUGGCGGCGUGCUUAACACAUGCAAGUCGAACGGAAAGGCCCUGCUUUUGUGGGGUGCUCGAGUGGCGAACGGGUGAGUAACACGUGAGUAACCUGCCCUUGACUUUGGGAUAACUUCAGGAAACUGGGGCUAAUACCGGAUAGGAGCUCCUGCUGCAUGGUGGGGGUUGGAAAGUUUCGGCGGUUGGGGCUGGACUCGCGGCUUAUCAGCUUGUUGGUGGGAUAGUGGCUUACCAAGGCUUUGACGGGUAGCCGGCCUGAGAGGGUGACCGGCCACAUUGGGACUGAGAUACGGCCCAGACUCCUACGGGAGGCAGCAGUGGGGAAUAUUGCACAAUGGGCGGAAGCCUGAUGCAGCAACGCCGCGUGCGGGAUGACGGCCUUCGGGCUGUAAACCGCUUUCGCCUGUGACGAAGCGUGAGUGACGGUAAUGGGUAAAGAAGCACCGGCUAACUACGUG